CUUACACAUGCAAGUAUCCGCACCCCUGUGAGAAUGCCCUCCGAACAAGGAGCCGGUAUCAGGCACAAUUUAGCCCACGACGCCUUGCUAAGCCACACCCCUAAGGGAAUUCAGCAGUGAUAAAUAUUAAGCCAUGAGUGAAAACUUGACUUAGUUAAUGUUAGGGUCGGUAAAUCUCGUGCCAGCCACCGCGGUUAUACGAGAGACCCAAGUUGAUGGCGGCGUAAAGAGUGGUUAAGGUAAAGCCAAACGACUUCAAAGCUGUUAUACGCACACGAAAAACGAAAGUGGCUUUACUGACCCCACGAAAGCUGCGGCACAAACUGGGAUUAGAUACCCCACUAUGCCUAGCCCUAAACAUACCUAUCCGCCUGGGAACUACGAGCGCUUAAAACCCAAAGGACUUGGCGGUGCUUCAGAUCCACCUAGAGGAGCCUGUUCUAGAACCGAUAAUCCCCGUUAAACCUCACCUUUCCGCCUAUAUACCGCCGUCGUCAGCUUACUCUGUGAAGGGUAAGCAUAACCGGCCAAAACGCCAGGUCGAGGUGUAGCGAAUGGAGAGGAGAAAUGGGCUACAUUCAAU
rnacentral:rRNA from 1 species